UAUUCCUAAUUAGAGUUGAUUAGGUUUUCUAUUCCUAAAUUGAUUAGAGUAGGAAGCUCUACAAAAAGAGCUAAUUUUCCAUCAUUUAGUAGCUUUAGACAAUGAUUACUAAUUGAGAAUAAUAAAAUUGUUAAAAAUUAGUUCUCUUUUCUAAGAAUUAAUCCUUGUUUUGUUCUUUGUUCUACAUAAGUGACUCGCUUCAAUGGCAAAUGGAGGAGAAGAAAUAUUGAAAUAUUGAAAUAUUCCAAUUUCAAAUUUAGGUUUGUUUGACUAUUUGUUUUGUUUGAUCGUUGGGUUUAUUUUGAGUUUGUUUGGGUAAAAUUAAGGUUUGUUUGAUUGUGGACUUUUUAGACUUUGUUUGAAGAAAAUAUUGAUUUAUUUAACUGUUAAAAGUUUGUUUCAACAAACAAAAAAGGUUAAAAGUUUGGGAUUGUUGAAGAAUGGUUAUUUGAUUGCUCCAAAUUUUCAUUUAAAUGAGAAACUGUGACAGGGAACAUCUAAAUUUUGUGAAGGCGUCAAAGGAAAAGAAUGGAUCUGGCAAAGUGGGAGAAGAACCUAUCGACUAAACCGAACCGAAAUAUUUCAGUUCAAUUAACCUUCAUAAUUCAUUUUGGUUCGGUUUAAUUUCAAAUGCAUUUCAAAUCUUUGGUUUUUUCCGAUUUGAUUCAUCGAUUUUUUUCAUUUAGUUCGAUUCAGAAUUAAAUCGGCCGAUUGCACACCCUUAGCCACGUCAGUGCCAUGUUACCCAAUGUUGCCAAGUCAGCAACCCUAGCACGUCAAUAAAUUUGGCAAAACCCUUUCCUUCUACUUUCAACGUCCAAAUUCCAUUUUUGACGUCAAUUGCGGUGAAAAUGAAUAUUUGAAGCAUGAUCACAGAUCCAAAUUAACUCCGCCUAAGUAGUUUGUG
rnacentral:misc_RNA from 1 species